CUCUCACACACACACACACAACACAUGCUAGUUAGUGCAUCCAUGUGCAACCAGAUUCACGUGCAAGUUUAACGUCAAGUCCAAGUCAAUCAGAUUCUAGUUUAUUUCAGUUGUUUAUUUUCACCUCGCCUCUCAAAGAGAUACAAAAAUAAAUCAGUUGAGUUGUACAAAUUCUAGGUCACAUUAAUGGUGGCAAAAGCUUAAAAAGGAUUUAUCCUGGUCAAAAGUCUUUUACAAAACAAAAACAUGGCAUUUGAACAGGGGUGUGUAUACUUUUUAUAUCCGCUGCAGCCUGUUUUUGUAAUCUUCCUGGUGAGCCUACAGUAUUGUGCUGUUUAACAAGUAGAAACAAUAUAGUAUAAGACCAUUUCUUGAAUUUGCCUUAAUUUGUUACUUUACAAAGAUUUUAUCUUGUAAAAUUGUAUUUAUUAUUUUUUUUAGAUUAAGUGAUAUUGUUCAGUAAUAUCUGAAUUUGCACAUUCAUAUUUUAUUUUGUUGUUUUCAUUUUAGUUGAUGCCGAUGCCCUGAUUUAAAAAAACAAAUCAGGUUACUCACUAUUUACUCAGCACUUGAGUAGUUUUUUCCACUGAGUAUUUUCUUACUCUUACUCAAGUAAUUAUUUGGAGGACUGCUUUUUACUUUUACUUGAGUCAUAUUAUUGUAAAGUAACAGUACUCUUAGUUGAGUACAAUUUUUGGCUACUCUACCCACCUCUGCAUGUUUAUAUCCAUCCAUCCAGCCAUCCAUUAUCUGUACCGCUUAUCCUCACUAGGGUCGUAGGCGUGCUGUUAGCACAUCUGCCUCACAGUUCUGGGGACCGGGAUUCAAAUCUUGGCCCUGCCUAUGUGGAGUUUGCAUGUUCUCCCCGUGCCUGGGUUUUCUCCGGUUUCCUCCCACAUCCCAAAAACAUGCGUGGUAGGUUGAUUGAAGACUCUUAAUUGCCCGUAGGUGUGAAUGUGAGUGAGAAUGGUUGUUUGUGUGCCCUGCGAUUGGCUGGCAACCAGUUUGGGGUGCACUCCGCCUCCCGCCCGAAGAUAGCUGGGAUAGGCUCCAGCAGCCCGCGACCCUAGUGAGGAUAAGCGGUAAAGAAAAUGGACGGCUGGAUUAACGUUACAUGCAUGUUUUUGGAAUGUGGGAAGAAGCUGUUGUACCCAGGUAAAAAAACUAAAACAUGCAAGCACGGGGAGAACAUGCAAACUCCACACAAGAAGGCCACAGACCGGAGCCAAGAUUCGAACCCCAAACAUCAGAACUGUGAUGCAGACCAGUUUGAACCUUUUGAACCAGUGUUCCAAGAUUGUAUACUACAAGACGUGCAUACACAUGCAGUACUUGGUGUGUGUGUGGUUGUACGGUCCCGGCUGGCUUUUAUUGUGAAAGCAACGAGGGAAACACCACUAAGUGAUUACUUGCCUGGGAUGGUGCAAUAGCUCCCCGAAUAAAACAACAACAAACAGAUAAAGCUGCCAGCGUUCAAGGAGUACGAAACAGCCUAUGACGACAGCGACGGCGACCCCACUCAUCGGAGCUAUACGAUUCACGUAAUGGACUAUUUAGUUCAAAACGGCGAAUUUCGCAGAAAGAUGACUGAUUUGCAUGUAUGUAAUAAGCACGCUCAUACAUGAGCUGCUACUGCCACAACUGACAUGCAGGCACUAUGGAUAUGCAACAACUAACCAAUGCUACUGAUGAGCGGUGCGGUGGGAUGCGCCAUCUUUGCCUCCGAUGUUGUCGACGUGAUAGGGAGGUGGGGAAAGUCUCCAGAAAAGCCUCUGCCACACCACCUCAGGCAGGCAGAGAGCCCUCGUCUGGUGCUUAAGAUGUUCUACAACGCUUUAAGGUGAUCCUCUGGGAUCAUCUUCACAACAAUAGAGUGGAGUGGCUGAGAGAGACCGAGCCACUCAUCUGCUUUUAUAUCCCUGCAGCAUCUGAAGGCCUCGUUCAGUGAUCCGUGUCCGUUUUGAAGGAGGUUCCUCUGGCCGGAUGUGGCGAGAAAACACAGCGUUGCAGGCUUCAGCACAGGCCAGUCUCUGGAUCUGCAGCUCUGCACUCUGGGCCUGCUGCAUGGCCUGGAGCUGAUGGGCUGCCGACAUUGGACCAGUAAGGGAGGACGGUUGGGGCAUGUCCCGGAAAGGAGCACCUGGGAGAAGUGUCCCCAAGUGGAGAGACAAGUUCCUCCCCCUCACUUUCUGAUGAAUCAUGGCCUUGUGAUCUGCGACUGAAGCGAUUCCCAGCCAGUUCCUCACCGCCACCUCUUGGCUACAAUGAUACAAUACUUUGAAUUCUUCCGUCAUGCGUUUGAAUACCUUAUGUCUGUGUUAAGACCACUUUCAUACAUGCACCGACGCCUAUACAUCAAAUCAUCACCAUCAGAGAUGUCUAAGUCAUAAAGACACUACGGGACAAUACUGACAUUGUGAGGGUGCUGGUCUGUACUAAUGUGAACAUAUGACAUAAACUUGAAAACAAAGA